GCAGGGCAGGCUGUGCCCUCCUGCAGUGGCAGCACUUGGCCCUCUGCAGCGGUGGGAGUUCAUAUUUCUCACCUCUCCUUUCACAGACAGUCUGGCACUUCUCUCUUUAAUGUUACAAAAUCCAGUAUUUCCACCAGGAGGUAAUGAAGGAGACAGCUUUGCCCUUGGAUUUUGAGACUACUUGGAUCAUUUUGAUUGCUUCAAGGUGAGGUCUGUAAGGAGACAUGGCUUUGUGUUCAUGAAUACAACAUCACUUGUUGAAAUCACCUGGAGAGUGAGCUCACAGUCAGAAUGGAGACCAACUCCUGAGGCUGGUGAAGAUGGUGCAGAAUAACAUGUGGCAUUUGUUGUAAAGCUUUAAAGUGUGACUUCUACCAGAACAUUCAGCCCAGGCUCAGAGCUAGCACUGCAUGUUGGACAGCUGUCAGCUUAAAGCAGCCUAAAACACAAUGCUUGUGGAAAAGUGCUUCAGCUUGUGCAGUGGGACCAUGGGAAUGUGUAAGGGGAGGAUGGAGGGGGUAAUAAAGCUUUGUGGAGUUUUCCAGAAGUGGUGUUGCUUGUGUUCUUCUAUGGGAAGAGUGGGGAAAGGACUGGAACUCAUCUGUCAGUGGUUUGGGUCCUGGAGGUCGAUUACAUGAGGAUAAUGGGCAAAUAGAAAGGGGCUCCUCCUUGCAAAGGCUUAUCAGGAGUUGGACUUGAUGAUCCUGGUGGUCCCUUCCCACUCAAGAUAUUCCAGAAGUCUAUGAUUAUGUACUGAAUUCAAAAUAAACAAUCUUCCAUGUUGGGAAAAGCAAAGCCAGUUAUGGCUUUCAGUAAGACAAAAGUGACAAACGUGUCUUAAAUACUGCAAAUCAUGUCAGGCUGGGUGAUUAUGGUCUGGGGUGUUUCCCAAAUGCUUUUUUUUUUUUUUGGCAGCUUGGUUUUCACAACCUGGAAAAAAAAUACAGAACUAUUGAGAUUUUUAUUCUGAUAUAUAUACUGUGUACUACUAUCCAUUGCAACUGGACCGUUAUUUGAAUAAUAAAGCCUGCACUGAGUGACUGGACAUGGUAAAAGAGAUGAAAAUGGAUCCCAUUUUACCUGUGAGUGCCUUAUUUUUACAGCUCAGUGAGGAGGGAGCAGAUGGAACAUCUUUGUCGAUGUGGUCUGAUACAUGAGCAGUUUCUUAUGUGUCUCAGAUGGGAAUAGUUUGUUGUCCUUUAUUACCCUGCAGGCAGAGGAGAAGAAUCCCUGGUGUGGGGUGGGAUUGCUGGUUGUGAGUCCCUGGAAUGGUGUGAACACCCUGUAUCUUUAAGAGCCAGUACAGAGUUGUCAGGUGCGAUAACGGGUUAUGGACGAGGUGAGACCCACUCCAGUCUCUGAGCUCUUGUGCAACUGGGAAGCAAAAGCCAAACAAAGUCCAAAAAUAGACUCCAGAAUGGCAGUGGCUGCCAGAGGCAUUAAAGGAACAAACACAGAGCUUUUUCAUUGCGCUUAAGACCAGAAAGGAUCAUUGUGAUUACCUAGUGUGACCUCAGACACAGGCCAGAGAACAGUGCUCAGUGAUUGCUGCAGUUGGGAUAGAUCUGUUCUGUGUUUGGUUUUAAUUGAUCUGACACCCAACUUUAGAAAGACAUCCACCUUCAAGGCCUGGAGUGAUGAAGAGCCUGCAGUGUUACCAGUAGGUGUCAUGUUCAGCUGAGUCUGUUAAUUCUCUCUCUUCAGGAUACGUUUUCAGUCCUCGAAUCGUUCUUGUUGCUCUCAAAAUUGUGUGCCAUCAGCAUUUACUGUCUCACUGAUCUGUGUAUCCCAAAGCAGGCUGUGCAGAGCAAUGUCAUACUUGGUUCCAGAUCUGUUCUGGACUAAGAAGCAGCACUUGUGUGACUGAGCCCAAGCACGGCCCUUCAGUGGUGGCUGCCCACUUGAAACUAGUUCUAACUAAGAGACAAAGCCACCUCCUUUCAUUUGUUAGCUGGAUUAAUCCCUGUAAUGUCCAUAUUGUUGUGUAAAGUUAAUUUUUGUGUUGGAAUAGGAUGCACUGAAGUUUACCAAAAUUUUAGGAUAAUGUGUCAAUAUUUCACAGACAUCAAAGGUUUGUAUUGGGUUUGGUCAACAAGAAUUAUCUUCCCUAUAUUUCAGUGCUGAGCCAUGUUAGUUCUAUUUCUCAUGCGGGGAUGUUUAUUUGUUGUUGUUUGCCCUGUAGGUUUAUUCUUGCCUGUGCUUCCCUACUUUGUGAUGAUCCUUGACAAGGUGACAAGGAGCAGAUAGGAAGGGCUCAGCUUUUUGAGGUGCUUGGGAGUGUGCUCAGUCUCAUACCCUGAGCUGUUUCCUUUGUUCCCUCAGGGCUCUGUGCAUCCCCCGUGGUUUUCACUCCCUUUCACCAGAGGGAGAUCAGGAAAGGAGACAAAUGAGGUUCACAGCUCCCCUGGAUAAAUGCAGACAGAUAAUCCCUGUUGCUCACUUUCAGGGAGCCCCUGGAACAUUGUUACAGGCACAAUAGCUCAGACAUCAGCUGUGCCUUUCAUUUACACUCCUGCUUCCUCUGCAGGAAUCAGAAGUCCUGGCUUUUUCUUUUCCUAGUACCUGAACCUAGAACCCUGUUUCAUUUGAGAUCCAUGCAAACUGCAGCCCCUAAAACCUGCUGAGCUCGGUUUGAAAGUGAUCCAUCAGCACUCUGAACAUGUUCCUGCCGUAAAUAAUUCAUCUGCAUGCCCAAAGAGGUGAAUUAAGAGCAGUGAAAGUGUUGGCAGAGUGGAAACGGGCAAUACUGUUUCGAAAGCAAAUGUUACUUUUAGGCCGUGUAGUGAAUUAAGACAAACAAGAUCACCAAGCAGUUUGCAAAAAGAGGUGUCCUUAGGCUGAGUGAAUAAACAAAGUUGUGUUUAAAUUCCCAGAGUGGGGUGUUUCAGGAGCUGAUUUCAAGAGCACUGCUCAUGUG